GCGACCCCAGGUCAGGCGAGAGC
rnacentral:rRNA from 1 species